GAUGAACGCUGACAGCAUGCUUAACACAUGCAAGUCUUUGGCGAAGCUGUGCUCGCACAGCCUAGCCAAGGCGGACGGGUGAGUAACGCGUAAGGAACUUGCCCUGCAGUCAGGGAUAACAGACGGAAACGACUGAUAAGACCUGGUAAAGUCAGGCGGACUCAUGUCCAGCCUGAUGAAAAGAGAUGCUGCAGGAGAGCCUUGCGUCCUAUUAGCUUGUUGGUGGGGUAACGGCCCACCAAGGCGAUGAUAGGUAGCCGGCCUGAGAGGGUGGACGGCCACAAGGGGACUGAGAUACGGCCCUUACUCCUACGGGAGGCAGCAGUGGGGAAUAUUGGACGAUGGGGGCAACCCUGAUCCAGCAAUUCUGUGUGCACGAUGAAGGUUUUCGGAGUGUAAAGUGCUUUCAGCAGGGAAGAAAAAAAUGACGGUACCUGCAGAAGAAGCGACGGCUAAAUACGUG
rnacentral:rRNA from 1 species